GGAAUUCGGAUUCGGACAUCUCUGGAAACGUUAAUUAAUGAUUUCUGCAAUUUUCCACAACUAAGUAAUGCCAUAAUUGCUUAAGCUGUUCAUGAAAAAGAAUGAAAAAUGUCGUCUGUGACUGUCACCUGUCAGUGAUAACGUCGUCUGUGAUGAAUUCAGUCAGAUGCCGACCUUUUAUCCGGUACUUCAAUCUUGCCUUAAGGAUCACAACAAGAAUUACCAGUAAUGCACUUAUUCUUCGAUCAUGGGAGACCUUAGCUUCCUACACAGCGAUCAGUCUUCCCCAAUAGAAUAUGUUGAUAUAUAACCUCACAGUAAAUUUGUACAGGGAUACUCUUAUGGGCUUUUUUUCUAUCGAGGAGAAUGGAAUACUGCCACAUGCAAACAGAAUUGUUCCCAUUUUGAAGAUAACAUGACAGAUAACUGUCAGACAUCAUUGAAGUCAACAAUAAGUGAUGACCGCUUCUUAAGCUGUCAUCAGUCAGAUG